ensembl:snRNA U6 U6 spliceosomal RNA
GUUCUCGCUUUGGCAGCACAUAUACUAAAAUUGGAAUGAUAUAGAGAAUAUUGGCAUGGCCCCUGAACAGGGAUGACAUGCAAAUUUGUGAAGCAUUCCUUAUUUUU